GACGAACGCUGGCGGCGUGCCUAAUACAUGCCAGUCGAGCGCUUCUUUCCUCCCGAGUGCUUGCACUCAAUUGGAAAGAGGAGUGGCGGACGGGUGAGUAACACGUGGGUAACCUACCCAUCAGAGGGGGAUAACACUUGGAAACAGGUGCUAAUACCGCAUAACAGUUUAUGCCGCAUGGCAUAAGAGUGAAAGGCGCUUUCGGGUGUCGCUGAUGGAUGGACCCGCGGUGCAUUAGCUAGUUGGUGAGGUAACGGCUCACCAAGGCCACGAUGCAUAGCCGACCUGAGAGGGUGAUCGGCCACACUGGGACUGAGACACGGCCCAGACUCCUACGGGAGGCAGCAGUAGGGAAUCGUCGGCAAUGGACGAAAGUCUGACCGAGCAACGCCGCGUGAGUGAAGAAGGUUUUCGGAUCGUAAAACUCUGUUGUUAGAGAAGAACAAGGACGUUAGUAACUGAACGUCCCCUGACGGUAUCUAACCAGAAAGCCACGGCUAACUACGUG
rnacentral:rRNA from 1 species